UUUAAUUUCAUGGCUGUUCUGUGUUAGGUUUUUAAACAGUCCCACAGCAAUAAAAUAUGUAAUUAACAGUCCUAGUCCUAAACUGGUAACCUUGUUUGAAUUAUUAGCAGAAUUUGAAGACUAAAUGGCCCCAGAUAUUUGCCUUGUUAGCAGAGUUUCUGUAUUUAAGAGACUUAGGAAUUUGGAAGCCUUAGACUAAGGGCUUUAGGGUUUCUUUUCAUAUACACUUAAGAAAGCAUUUGCAUCUUUUCUUGAUUUCUUUUUUGUGAAAAUUGUGGUCUCAUGAAGAUUUAAAAAAAAUAAAUUCACAAUUCUGAUCAGGUUUAAUUCUCUAUUGCUUGUGGCACUGUGGAAAACUUCAAGAGAUGGAUUGGAAGUUGUACCUUACCUUCAUGUCCCUCCUAACAAGAUUUACAGUGCCCAUCCCACAGGUCUGCCUGUCCAAAGGAGAGGAAGGUCAUUACACAGAUAAAGCUCUGCAGGAACCUGGAAUAUGGAUGACUGUUGUCUGCAUCAGUCUUUCUCUUCCCUCCAAAGGAGGAAGAUUCAAUAAUGGCACAUUAUGAAAUGGACAGGUUCUCUAGCCCUGUGAUCGUCUUGCUGCUCCUCGUCUGGACCCACUCCAACAGCUCUACGCCCUUUUCAUGCUGAGGACCUCAGAACUGGAUGCAGUACUACAGGCAGAAGGGCAGAAUUCCCUCCCUCGACCUGCAGGCCACGCUGCUUUGGAUGCAGCCCAGGACGUGAAUGAAAUAUUUUUUCCGCCAUUCCCUUCCAAAAUACUGAGAAAGUAGCUUAUAUCGGCGGGAAGGACAGCAGAGCCCUUAGCUUGCUUUUCCUGCCGCGGAGGGCGCGGCCCGGCGGGCAGGGGCAGUACCCGGCCUCGC